CUUGAAUUGAGGGACCCAGAACUGGACACAGAAUCACAGAAUCAAUUCAGAGGACCUGAUGAGAAAAGUGCUGGACAACAGACGAGUAGGCGCACAGCAGCUAAGCAGCUCCUCACACAUGCCUACAGGGCCGGAGCGAGGGUGCUAAGACAAUGCCACGCCUGAGAGGUGCUCGGGAUCCAAGGAUAUUAGAGGUUGGAAGCGACCCAAGGCGAUCAUCGAGUCCAACCCCUCUGCCAGAGCAGGACCACACGAUCUAGCACAGGUUGCUGAAAAGUCCAGAAGUUGGUAGAACCACAGAUUUUCCUCCUGUUCCCAGGAUGGCAGACACAUCUGAUGGCUUCAUGGAGCUUCGAGUCAGUGCAGUAGCUGAAAGAGAGACAGACUUCUCUGAAAAGAAGUAUUUAAGUGUCUCUGUUCUCUGUCAAGGAGCUCGAGUGGAAAUCCUGCAAUGGAGACUGAAGAUUUCUGAAAUCCUGCUCCCUCAUACAAGAAGCAGCCAAACCAACCUGAUGGAGAAGUAACUUGCCUCUUUCUGCUCUACCUCCACCUUCCUCCAAAGCAGUGUCAGACAGAAAAGGCUGUCCAGGACCUCAUCCACUCAGCUUUGGGUAUCUCUGAGGACAAAGACUCCACAGACCAUCUGGGCAGCAAGUUCUAGUGUUCAAA